CGCCGUGGCUUUGGGCUGGGCUAACUCCCCCGGCUGCACUUUGGGGUGAACGGCUGCGUAUGGUGCCCUGGAUGGCAGAGCUGAGCAGGACUCGCCUGGGUGACUCGGUCGGGCCCCGCACACGUGUUGCGAACAGCAGGUGCCUUGUCUUGCCCGGAGGUGUGUCCAGAGAUGCCAGCGCUCGCUAAGGCCUGUCGCUCUCCGGCCAGGCGGUGGGCGCCCGCGGGGAGCGGCCCGUGUUUGGUGUGUAGGACCAGGUGUGUAUAGUUUAUACCUCGCUGUGUGACUGUAAAUAGGGUUAUUUAAGCCUCAUGCUGUACAUGGGUUUUCCAAUGGAUGUGUCUGUUCUGUACACUGUCUUCGUAAAUAAAUGCAGCAAACUGAA